GCGGGGGUUGCCAAGUCUGGCCAAAGGCGCUAGGUUGAGGGCCUAGUCCCGUAGGGGUUCGAGGGUUCAAAUCCCUUCCCCCGCA
rnacentral:tRNA from 1 species